AUCCAUCUGACGAGUCUCAAAUAGGACGAAACUCGUGUCCUCGAC
rfam:Schistosoma mattheei strain Denwood, Zambia genome assembly, scaffold: SMTD_scaffold0006156